AGUCUGUGAGGGGCCGGCGAACGGAUCGGAUCGCAGGGGAGAGGCGGAGCCGCCGGCGGGAAUCUGCUUCAGGAGGAUCUCUGCUGUAUUCUUUCCUCCCUUUUCUGCUGGGUUUUUUUUUGGUUUUUUUUUUUUUUUUGUUGUUGUUUUUUUUUUUUUAAUCGUAUUUGCUUAACCUGAAAAUUCUUGACCUCAUUUUCCCUCACGAUUUGCCCUCCCCACCACUUGUCUCCCCAUCCUCUCCUGAAGGUCAGUUUGAAAGUAAUUCCUUAUGUUUUAAUACAUAUUUUUAGCCGAUUUAACGUUUUUUAUCGGUUUGUAACUUUUGGUAGGAUUUCUUGCCUUUUUUACCCUUUUUGGAAAGUUUUUUCCCCUCAGGAAGGAGCAGCUUGCCGGAAACGGCGCCCCGCGGAUUUCGGCGUUGUAAAACUACAGUUUUAGAUCUUUAAUUUCCAUUUUUAAAAUUAGUUUUCCGCUUCAAAGAACUAUAUUUGCAUUUUCAGUUAGUAUUUUGGGGUUUUUUUAAGAUUUUUUGGAGGUUUUUUUUCGGAAUUCGAGGCGAAUUUAGCCUCAGAGUUCCACCAGGAUUUGGACCCUCCCCACGUGUUUUGCCUCCUCUUUAACGUUACCUAAAUCAGAAUAUACAUUAAAAUGAAAAACCACAAAACCUUUUCUGAGAAGUUUACCUCCUAAUUAUUCUUUUUUAUCGAUUUUACGUUUUUUUGGCCCAUUUUUCCUCCGUCUUUCCCUGAGGCGCUGCCCGCGCCGGGAAGACCGCGCCACCAAAAGUUCCGAUUCUUAUCCCUUUAUUUUCUAUUUUUAUUUUUCCAUUUUUCAAGAUUCCACCGCUGUUAGUGGGGGGUUUGGGCUUCAACUCUUUAUUUUCUAUUCUGCCGGGGUUUUUUUUCCAGAUAAAUUGUUGUCCUGUUGUUACGAAAACGUUUUUUUAUGGAUCGCUGGAAUAAAUCCUGCUUCGCUGUGGAA